AGAGUUUGAUUCUGGCUCAGGAUGAACGCUGGCGGCGUGCCUAAUACAUGCAAGUCGAGCGAACCACUUCGGUGGGAAGCGGCGAACGGGUGAGUAACACGUAGGUGAUCUGCCCAUCAGACGGGGACAACGAUUGGAAACGAUCGCUAAUACCGGAUAGGACGAAAGUUUAAAGAUGCUCCUGGCAUCACUGAUGGAUGAGCCUGCGGCGCAUUAGCUAGUUGGUGGGGUAAAGGCCUACCAAGGCGACGAUGCGUAGCCGACCUGAGAGGGUGAACGGCCACACUGGGACUGAGACACGGCCCAGACUCCUACGGGAGGCAGCAGUAGGGAAUCUUCGGCAAUGGGCGAAAGCCUGACCGAGCAACGCCGCGUGAAUGAAGAAGGCCUUCGGGUUGUAAAAUUCUGUUAUAAGGGAAGAAAGGUGAUAGGAGGAAAUGACUAUCAAUUGACGGUACCUUAUGAGAAAGCCACGGCUAACUACGUGCCAGCAGCCGCGGUAAUACGUAGGUGGCAAGCGUUAUCCGGAAUUAUUGGGCGUAAAGAGCGCGCAAGUGGUUAAUUAAGUCUGAUGUGAAACCCCCCGGCUUAACCGUGGAGGGUCCUUGGAA
rnacentral:rRNA from 1 species